GAAUGUCCCCUUGCUACAAAUUAUGUUUAGUGGGAUUGAGAAUAAUUUAAUACUGUGUAAGGGGCCCGGUUGCUAACCCAUUUCCUUUUUCCUAAACCAACUGGGUAGUGGAGUGGUGGGUAAAAUAAUUAAGUGGACUAGGCAGUCUCUAUGUUUUUAGUAUAAUAUUACCCAAUUCCCUGAUCAGACAAAGUUUGUAUACCCCUAGCCCUAUCACAGUGGCUAUGGAUAUUCAAACUCCUAGCCACAAAUGUGCCAUGCCCUGACAAUCUCAUCUAAAUCUCAUUACCAACCCACUUUCUCUAAUUAGUGUUAGGGAGAUGAAACAGUAAAAUAAACAAGAGUAAUACACCAGGUCAAAUAAUUAUUUAUACAUACAUUUCAAAAUCUUAUUGUCAUCUAUUUUCUUUUUCCAUACAAAAUAAAUAUGUAAAUAAUAAUUUUCCUGACUCACUAGCCCUAAGAAAUGCUCUUGUAGAGUUUUUCAUUCUAAUUUUUAUAUUUUUUCCAUCAAAUGUUGGCAAACUGAUUUUUUUUAUACAGUUGUAUUGGGUAUGAUGGCUUGAUUAAUGUUUGCCAAAUGCACAACAAGGUAAAAUGUAUUACUAUUGUUUAAAGUGUUUAUUUUGAACUUGGUAGGGUUAGUGACUUAGUGACAAGAUCUUUUGAACCCAUAGCCUGUAGGACUUUAUAUGGCAAGUGAUCGACCAAACCCUGAUCCUAUUUGAUUUAAAGAUGGAUGAGGAGUUAUAUUUGUGCUAUUAGUAAUUGAGCACACUGCGUGUCCUAUAAUUGUAAGAGUAAAGGGGCUAUGAUUAGAAUGUGGACUAGAGAGCUAAGGGGGACCCUGCCCCUAAUAGUUAUAUUAUUCUCAAUUUCACUAUUUAAGUGAAGAAGGUAGUGGUAGAUAAAUUUGCUGAACCCCUCUAUACUAUUAUAUGAUAUUACCUUCUAUCAAUAUACAUCUAGUGGCAUUUCAGGUCAUGGUGUCCUAUGGUGUUGCCUCCCUCAAAUUAAUUUUGGUGUUAAUUUGUUAUAGCACUAGAAAAUAAUACUAAUUCAGAACUAGUAAACUGACCUGAUAAUUAUUGGAGCAUUACUUCAAUAGGAGAGGUAGAUUACUAGAAUGAAUUAUAUGUUAUUAUGGUAUUAUAUAAUGUAUUCUAGUUAUGAGAGCCCAACCAAUCAACUGGUAAACAUUUGCAGGGUGACUUAAAACUAAUUUUGUUUAACAUGCAGUAUUUAUAUG